rnacentral:rRNA from 1 species
UACGUAGGGGGCUAGCGUUGCUCGGAAUCACUGGGCGUAAAGCGCACGUAGGCGGCUUGUUAAGUCAGGGGUGAAAUCCUGGAGCUCAACUCCAGAACUGCCUUUGAUACAGCACGUCUCGAGUCCGGAAGAGGUGGGUGGAAUUCCUAGUGUAGAGGUGAAAUUCGUAGAUAUUAGGAAGAACACCGGUGGCGAAGGCGGCCCACUGGUCCGGUACGUGACGC